ACGGAGGAAGAGGGGCUGCCUCUCAGUCCCCGCCUCACGGGGGGUGCCUCCUCCCCCUGUGAUGGGGGUCCUAAGAGCCAGGGGGGGAAAGGAGCUGGCUCUCAGUCCCUGUCUCGCGGGGGGUGCCUCCCCCAACUGCGAUGGGGGUCCUAAGAGCCGGGGGGGGGGAAGAGGGGCUGCCUCUCAGUCCCCGCCUCGCAGGGGGGUGCCUCCUCCCCCUGCGAUGGGGGUCCUAAGAGCCGAGGGGGGGAAGAGGGGCUGUCUCUCAGUCCCCGCCUCGCGGGAGGUGCCUCCCCCCACUGCGAUGGGGGUCCCAAGAGACAGGGGGGAAGAGGGGCUGGCUCUCAGUCCACGCCUUGUGGGGGAUGCCUCCCCCCCUGCGAUGGGGGGUCCCAACAGCCAGCGGGGGAAGAGGGGCUGGCUGAGUCCCCGCCUCGCGGGGGGUGCCUCACCACCCCUGCGAUGGGGGUUCCAAGAGCCAGGAAGGGAAGAGGGGCUGGCUCGCAGUCCCCACCUCACGGGGGUGCCUCCCCCCCAGGGAUGGGGGUCCUAAGAGCCAGGGGGGGAAGAGGAGCUGGCUCUCAGUCACCACAGCAUGGGGGGCCUUUCUGUUCUGGUUUUGCCCAAGAGUAAGCUUAUUUGCAUCUGGUUCUAGCAGGGCAGUUGCUGCGAAGGCCCUCAAACAGGGGGGCCAUCCUUUAGAAACCCUGUCUAGCUGUUUAGAGAGGUAGGCCACCGGCCUCAGCCAGGGCCCCACAGUUUGGGUUUAAAGUCCAGCUGCCAUCUUUUCUCUGACGCAUACAGUGGAAAAGGCUUUGUGAGAUCCGCUAGCCCCUGGGCUGGGGCUUUCAGAAGUUUUUCCUUUAAGUCAUGAAAGACUUGCUGUUGUUGGAAUCCCCAUUCCAAAUGUUCCCGGUCCCCGCCCCCUUUAUGACGUCAUACAAAGGCGUGGCUAAUACUGCAAAGUUUGGGCUCCGCAGUCUACAAAACCCCACAGCUCCUAGGAAUUCUCUCACCAGCCUUCUGCCCUUAGGCUCCGGUAGAUUGCAAAUGACCUGCUUUCUUUCGGCUCCCGGGCUGCUUUCGGACACCUGUCGAAUAGUAAAUCCCAAGUAAGCUACCUGCGGUCGUCGGCAGAUCUGAGUUUUCUUCUUGGACACCUAAUACCCACAGCCCUCCAGGCUCCGGAAGAUUGCAAAUGACCUGCUUUCUUUGGGAUCCCGGGCUGCUUUCGGACACCUGUCGAAUAGUAAAUCCCAAGUAAGCUACCUGCGGUCGUCGGCAGAUCUGAGUUAUCUUCUUGGACACCUAAUACCCACAGCCCUCCAGACUGAGUCUUGCUCUGUUGCCCAUGCUUUGCUGGAUCUCGGGUGACUGCAACCACUGCCUCCCAGAGAUGGGGUUUCACCAUGUUUGCCAGGAUGGUCUCUAUCUCCUGACCUUGUGAUCCACCCACCUCAGCCUCCCAAAGUGCUGGGAUUGCAGGUGCGAGCCACCGGGUCCAGCCUCUCAGGCGAUUUUCAUACCUGCAUACUCUGAUCACUACUCUGUUAAACAGUCAAGGAGGGAAGAUCUCUGAGCUCCAUCUGCAUUCUUUCUUCCUGUGCUGUGGCCUGGAAAGUUUUCUAAGGUGUUUGGGAGGUCAAUUGUGGGGCUAGCCUCAUUUGUUUCUCAUUUCUUGAGGAUCACUGCCCUUUGAUGCUUGAUUCCAGUGAUUGAUUCCCUUUGUUGCUUGAGGGCCAUAGUUUCAUAUAUUUUGUCCAGUAUUUUUGUUGUUUUAGGUCAGAAAGUAAUUUUGGUCUCUGUUACUCCAUCUUGGCCAGAAGUGUAAGACCUAAGCAUUUACACGUCAAAAUAGUGCACACAUAAUUUUAGUUUAAGCUACUUUUUAAAAAAUCUCCUUCAUUUUCCAUUUAGCAUUCUAUUUAGGGUAUUACAUUGGUUUUUUUGAAAUUCUGUUAUUGGCAGUUUCUAUUGCCUAUCAAUCCCAUUUAAAGAUAGUGCAUAGGGUAUUCUAAAAUAGCUGUUAAGCAAAGAGAAAAUUGGGCCUGAUAGGGUGAGAAUCACAGCUCUAAUACCUAGAGUGACCUUAUAAUGUAUUGUCCAAAGGAGAUAUUUUUGACAGUGAAAGAGGGUGUUGUUAGUAAUUAUAUCAGGACCAUGGCCUAAACCAGGACUAUCCCAGGCAGCCUGGGACAUAUUUGUACCCCAUCUCUAUUUAAUGCCUUUAUACAAUUCUUUACUUAAUUCUACCAGCCUUUAUUGAGCCUGCUUUCUUUGUCUAGCUGAGUGCCACGUGCUGACAUCACUAAGAUCAAUACAGCAAACUCUGAAAGAUGGACAGAGAGACAGGAGAUGGUCCUUUAUCAUGCAGUGUGAUCUGUGCUGCAAUAGAGAUGGAAGAGUGUUCUGAUUGGCUGGAAAACAACGCACAUGGGAAGCUGUACAGAAAUGAGUGGGGAAAGUUUUGGAAGCUAGAAGUUCAAAACGAGGUGUUGGCAGCACCAUGCUCUCUCUGAAGAUGCUAGGAAGAAUCUGCUCCAUGCCUUUCCAUUCGCUUCUGGGGUUUCCUGCAAGCCCUGACAUUCCUUGGCUUGUAGAUGCAUCACCCCAGUUUCCGCCCCCAUCAUCACAUGGCCUCCUCUCUGUGUGUGCCUCUGCAUUCCCUCUAUUCUUCUUCUAAGGACACCGACACCAGUCAUAGUGGAUUAAGGGUCCACUCCUAACUAAUUACAUCUGCAACAACCCUAUUUCCAAAUAAAGUCACAUUCUAAGA